AUUUCUUCGGAUUGAAAUUUUAGUGACUGAGUGGCGGACGGGUGAGUAACGCGUGGGUAACCUGCCUCACACAGGGGGAUAACAGUCAGAAAUGGCUGCUAAUACCGCAUAAGCGCACAGAGCUGCAUGGCUCAGUGUGAAAAACUCCGGUGGUAUAAGAUGGACCCGCGUUGGAUUAGCCAGUUGGCGGGGUAACGGCCCACCAAAGCGACGAUCAGUAGCCGGCCUGAGAGGGUGAACGGCCACAUUGGGACUGAGACACGGCCCAAACUCC
rnacentral:rRNA from 1 species